rnacentral:rRNA from 1 species
UACAGAGGGUGCAAGCGUUUAAUCGGAAUUACUGGGCGUAAAGCGUGCGUAGACGGUUAUGUAAGUCGGGUGUGAAAGCCCCGGGCUCAACCUGGGAAUGCCAUUCGAGACUGCAUAGCUAGGGUGCGGAAGAGGGAAGCGGAAUUUCCGGUGUAGCGGUGAAAUGCGUAGAUAUCGGAAGGAACACCAGUGGCGAAAGCGGCUUCCUGGUCCAGCACCGACGUUCAGGCACGAAAGCGUGGGGAGCAAACAGG